CCUACGGGGGGCAGCAGUGGGGAAUAUUGGACAAUGGGCGCAAGCCUGAUCCAGCCACGCCGCGUGAGUGAUGAAGGCCUUCGGGUUGUAAAGCUCUGUGGGGAGAGGCGAAAACAGUCAGCAAGAAACGGCUGAUUCUUGACGGUAUCUCCUUAGCAAGCACCGGCUAACUCUGUGCCAGCAGCCGCGGUAAUACAGAGGGUGCGAACGUUGCUCGGAAUUACUGGGCGUAAAGCGCGUGUAGGCGGACCGGUAAGUCAGAUGUGAAAUCCCUGGGCUCAACCCAGGAACUGCAUUUGAAACUGCUGGUCUAGAGUAUCGGAGAGGGUGGCGGAAUUCCUGGUGUAGAGGUGAAAUUCGUAGAUAUCAGGAGGAACACCGGUGGCGAAGGCGGCCACCUGGACGGUCACUGACGCUGAGACGCGAAAGCGUGGGGAGCAAACAGGAUUAGAUACCCGGGUAGUC
rnacentral:rRNA from 1 species